CCUACGGGUGGCAGCAGUCGAGAAUCAUUCACAAUGGGGGAAACCCUGAUGGUGCGACGCCGCAUGGGGGAAUGAAGGUCUUCGGAUUGUAAACCCCUGUCAUGUGGGAGCAAAUUAAAAAGAUAGUACCACAAGAGGAAGAGUCGGCUAACUCUGUGCCAGCAGCCGCGGUAAUACAGAGGUCUCAAGCGUUGUUCGGAUUCACUGGGCGGAAAGCGUGCGGAGGCUGUUUCGUAAGUCUUGUGUGAAAGGCGCGGGCUCAACCCGCGGACGGCACAUGAUACUGCGAGACUAGAGUAAUGGAGGGGGAACCGGAAUUCUCGGUGUAGCAGUGAAAUGCGUAGAUAUCGAGAGGAACACUCGUGGCGAAGGCGGGUUCCUGGACAUUAACUGACGCUGAGGCACGAAGGCCAGGGGAGCGAAAGGGAUUAGAUACCCUUGUAGUC
rnacentral:rRNA from 1 species